rnacentral:tRNA from 1 species
GGGAGCGUGGCGAAAUGGCAUACGCAGGAGACUUAAAAUCUUCCGACUUCGGUCUUGUGGGUUCGAGUCCCACCGCUCCUACCA